UACGUAGGGGGCCAGCGUUGCUCGGAAUUACUGGGCGUCAAGGGUUCGUAGGUGGUGCGGUAAGUUGGAAGUGAAAUCUCUGGGCUUAACCCAGCGGCUGCUUUCAAAACUGUCGCGCUCGAGUGCGAGAGAGGUCAGUGGAAUUGCAGGUGUAGCGGUGAAAUGAGUAGAUAUCUGCAGGAACAAACGUGGCGAAGGCGGCUGACUGGAUCGCAACUGACACUGAGGAACGAAAGCUAGGGGAGCAAACAGG
rnacentral:rRNA from 1 species